ACCUGACUGCUAUCGGAUUGAUACUAAGCCAUGCGAGUCAUUGUAGCAAUACAAGGCAGACGGCUCAGUAACGCGUAGUCAACCUAACCUAUGGACGGGAAUAACCUCGGGAAACUGAGAAUAAUGCCCGAUAGAACACUAUGUCUGGAAUGAUUUGUGUUCCAAAUGAUUUAUCGCCGUAGGAUGGGACUGCGGCCUAUCAGUUUGUUGGUGAGGUAAUGGCCCACCAAGACUAUUACAGGUACGGGCUCUGAGAGGAGUAGCCCGGAGAUGGGUACUGAGACACGGACCCAGGCCCUAUGGGGCGCAGCAGGCGAGAAAACUUUGCAAUGUGCGAAAGCACGACAAGGUUAAUCCGAGUGGUUUGUGCUAAACAGACCUUUUGUUAGUCCUAGAAACACUAACGAAUAAGGGGUGGGCAAGUUCUGGUGUCAGCCGCCGCGGUAAAACCAGCACCUCAAGUGGUCAGGAUGAUUAUUGGGCCUAAAGCAUCCGUAGCCGGCUCUGUAAGUUUUCGGUUAAAUCUGUAUGCUCAACAUACAGGCUGCCGGGAAUACUGCAGAGCUAGGGAGUGGGAGAGGUAGACGGUACUCGGUAGGAAGGGGUAAAAUCCUUUGAUCUAUUGAUGACCACCUGUGGCGAAGGCGGUCUACCAGAACACGUCCGACGGUGAGGGAUGAAAGCUGGGGGAGCAAACCGGAUUAGAUACCCGGGUAGUCCCAGCUGUAAACUAUGCAAACUCAGUGAUGCAUUGGCUUGUGGCCAAUGCAGUGCUGCAGGGAAGCCGUUAAGUUUGCCGCCUGGGAAGUACGUACGCAAGUAUGAAACUUAAAGGAAUUGGCGGGGGAGCACCACAAGGGGUGAAGCCUGCGGUUC
rnacentral:rRNA from 2 species